UACAGAGGGCGCGAGCGUUGUCCGGAAUCACUGGGCGUAAAGGGCGCGUAGGUGGCCACUAUACGGCCGCGGUGAAAGUUCGGGGCUCAACCCCGAAUCUGCCGCGGCGACUGUAGGGCUUGGGCACCGUAGAGGCAGAUGGAAUUCCGGGUGUAGCGGUGAAAUGCGUAGAUAUCUGGAGGAACACCGGUGGCGAAGGCGGCAUCCUGGACCAACAUUGACGCUGAGGAGCGAAAGCCAGUGGAGCAAACGGG
rnacentral:rRNA from 1 species